UCCGAAGGGGGCUAGCGUUGCUCGGAAUCACUGGGCGUAAAGGGUGCGUAGGCGGGUCUUUAAGUCAGGGGUGAAAUCCUGGAGCUCAACUCCAGAACUGCCUUUGAUACUGAAGAUCUUGAGUUCGGGAGAGGUGAGUGGAACUGCGAGUGUAGAGGUGAAAUUCGUAGAUAUUCGCAAGAACACCAGUGGCGAAGGCGGCUCACUGGCCCGAUACUGACGCUGAGGCACGAAAGCGUGGGGAGCAAGCAGG
rnacentral:rRNA from 1 species